rnacentral:rRNA from 1 species
CCUACGGGAGGCAGCAGUGAGGAAUAUUGGUCAAUGGGCGCGAGCCUGAACCAGCCAAGUCGCGUGAGGGAGGACGGCCCUACGGGUUGUAAACCUCUUUUGCCGGGGAGCAACGGGCGCCACGUGUGGCGUCACUGAGAGUACCCGGAGAAAAAGCAUCGGCUAACUCCGUGCCAGCAGCCGCGGUAAUCCGGAGGAUGCGAGCUUUAUCCGGAUUUAUUGGGUUUAAAGGGUGGGUGGGCGGAACGUUAAGUCAGUGGUAAAAUUGAGGGGCUCAACCCCUUCCCGCCAUUGAAACUGGCGUUCUUGAGUGGAAGAGAGGUAUGUGGAAUGCGUGGUGUAGCGGUGAAAUGCAUAGAUAUCACGCAGAACACCGAUUGCGAAGGCAGCAUGCCGGAUUCCGAAUGACGCUGAAGCACGAAAGCGUGGGGAGCGAACAGGAUUAGAUACCCCGGUAGUC